rnacentral:rRNA from 1 species
GAUGAACGCUGGCGGCGUGCCUAAUACAUGCAAGUCGAGCGAACAGACGAGGAGCUUGCUCCUCUGACGUUAGCGGCGGACGGGUGAGUAACACGUGGCUAACCUACCUAUAAGACUGGGAUAACUUCGGGAAACCGGAGCUAAUACCGGAUCAUAUAUUGAACCGCAUGGUUCAAUAGUGAAAGACGGUUUUGCUGUCACUUAUAGAUGGAUCCUCGCCGCAUUAGCUAGUUGGUAAGGUAACGGCUUACCAAGGCUACGAUGCGUAGCCGACCUGAGAGGGUGAUCGGCCACACUGGAACUGAGACACGGUCCAGACUCCUACGGGAGGCAGCAGUGGGGAAUAUUCCGCAAUGGGCGAAAGCCUGACGGAGCAACGCCGCGUGAGUGAUGAAGGUCUUCGGAUCGUAAAGCUCUGUUAGUAGGGAAGAACAAAUGUGUAAGUAACUAUGCACGUCUUGACGGUACCUAAUCAAAAAGCCACGGCUAACUACGUG